AUGGUCAUGGAGAGGUGGGGAUGGUCAUGGAGAGGUGGGGAUGAUGCGGGAAAGGUGGGAAUGGACCUGGAAAGAUGGGAAUGGUCAUGUCCCUGUUCCUGUCCCCAGGACAUUUCUCUCCCUGUCCCCAGGCCCUUUCUGACUGUCCCUCCCCCAGGCUGCAGGGCUCCCAGCCCUUUCUCAGCUCUCUCCUGUCCCCAGCCCCUUUCUCAGCUCUCUCCUGUCCCCAGCCCCUUUCUCAGCUCUCUCCUGUCCCCAGCCCCUUUCUCAGCUCUCUCCUGUCCCCAGCCCCUUUCUCAGCUCUCUCCUGUCCCCAGCCCCUUUCUCAGCUCUCUCCUGUCCCCAGCCCCUUUCUCAGCUCUCUCCUGUCCCCAGCCCCUUUCUCAGCUCUCUCCUGUCCCCAGCCCCUUUCUCAGCUCUCUCCUGUCCCCAGCCCCUUUCUCAGCUCUCUCCUGUCCCCAGCCCCUUUCUCAGCUCUCUCCUGUCCCCAGCCCCUUUCUCAGCUCUCUCCUGUCCCCAGCCCCUUUCUCAGCUCUCUCCUGUCCCCAGCCCCUUUCUCAGCUCUCUCCUGUCCCCAGCCCCUUUCUCAGCUCUCUCCUGUCCCCAGCCCCUUUCUCAGCUCUCUCCUGUCCCCAGCCCCUUUCUCAGCUCUCUCCUGUCCCCAGCCCCUUUCUCAGCUCUCUCCUGUCCCCAGCCCCUUUCUCAGCUCUCUCCUGUCCCCAGCCCCUUUCUCAGCUCUCUCCUGUCCCCAGCCCCUUUCUCAGCUCUCUCCUGUCCCCAGCCCCUUUCUCAGCUCUCUCCUGUCCCCAGCCCCUUUCUCAGCUCUCUCCUGUCCCCAGCCCCUUUCUCAGCUCUCUCCUGUCCCCAGCCCCUUUCUCAGCUCUCUCCUGUCCCCAGCCCCUUUCUCAGCUCUCUCCUGUCCCCAGCCCCUUUCUCAGCUCUCUCCUGUCCCCAGCCCCUUUCUCAGCUCUCUCCUGUCCCCAGCCCCUUUCUCAGCUCUCUCCUGUCCCCAGCCCCUUUCUCAGCUCUCUCCUGUCCCCAGCCCCUUUCUCAGCUCUCUCCUGUCCCCAGCCCCUUUCUCAGCUCUCUCCUGUCCCCAGCCCCUUUCUCAGCUCUCUCCUGUCCCCAGCCCCUUUCUCAGCUCUCUCCUGUCCCCAGCCCCUUUCUCAGCUCUCUCCUGUCCCCAGCCCCUUUCUCAGCUCUCUCCUGUCCCCAGCCCCUUUCUCAGCUCUCUCCUGUCCCCAGCCCCUUUCUCAGCUCUCUCCUGUCCCCAGCCCCUUUCUCAGCUCUCUCCUGUCCCCAGCCCCUUUCUCAGCUCUCUCCUGUCCCCAGCCCCUUUCUCAGCUCUCUCCUGUCCCCAGCCCCUUUCUCAGCUCUCUCCUGUCCCCAGCCCCUUUCUCAGCUCUCUCCUGUCCCCAGCCCCUUUCUCAGCUCUCUCCUGUCCCCAGCCCCUUUCUCAGCUCUCUCCUGUCCCCAGCCCCUUUCUCAGCUCUCUCCUGUCCCCAGCCCCUUUCUCAGCUCUCUCCUGUCCCCAGCCCCUUUCUCAGCUCUCUCCUGUCCCCAGCCCCUUUCUCAGCUCUCUCCUGUCCCCAGCCCCUUUCUCAGCUCUCUCCUGUCCCCAGCCCCUUUCUCAGCUCUCUCCUGUCCCCAGCCCCUUUCUCAGCUCUCUCCUGUCCCCAGCCCCUUUCUCAGCUCUCUCCUGUCCCCAGCCCCUUUCUCAGCUCUCUCCUGUCCCCAGCCCCUUUCUCAGCUCUCUCCUGUCCCCAGCCCCUUUCUCAGCUCUCUCCUGUCCCCAGCCCCUUUCUCAGCUCUCUCCUGUCCCCAGCCCCUUUCUCAGCUCUCUCCUGUCCCCAGCCCCUUUCUCAGCUCUCUCCUGUCCCCAGCCCCUUUCUCAGCUCUCUCCUGUCCCCAGCCCCUUUCUCAGCUCUCUCCUGUCCCCAGCCCCUUUCUCAGCUCUCUCCUGUCCCCAGCCCCUUUCUCAGCUCUCUCCUGUCCCCAGCCCCUUUCUCAGCUCUCUCCUGUCCCCAGCCCCUUUCUCAGCUCUCUCCUGUCCCCAGCCCCUUUCUCAGCUCUCUCCUGUCCCCAGCCCCUUUCUCAGCUCUCUCCUGUCCCCAAAGCUGCACAGGUGAGAAAAUGGGCAUCAAUUCCUCACUUACAGCUUCUCUCCACAAGGAUUGUGUCCCCAAAGUCCUGCAGUAA
ensembl:lncRNA